CAGUGUCCCAAUAAAACUUUAUUUAUGGACACUGACAUUUGAAAUUCAUAUAAUUUUCACGAGUCGUGAAAUAUUCUUCUUUGGUCCUUUCCCCCCCGCCCCACCAAUCCUCUAAAAGUGUAAGAACUAUUCUCAGCUCAUGGGCCAUGCAAAAAUAGGCAGCUGGUUGGAUCUCACUUGUGGGCUGUGGUUUGCCAACCCUCCUUUAGAGCUGGUUCUGCUGUUUAUCAAGUGUGUAAUCUUGGAUAGGUUCCCUGGAUAAACCUCAGUGUCCUCAGCUACAAGACGCGAAAAGUAAGGAGGAGUUCCUCCGUCAGGGACUGGGGGAUGCGAUGGAGUAACUGUGAAGUGUUUAGCAUGAUACUUACGUAGAUCACUCUUGGGAGUGGGAGGUGUCAUGAUAAGAUGAUGCUGAGUCCCUUGAAGUUGUUUGUCCUCCCAAAAUAUACUGAUAGGGGGUGCUUGUCACUGUGUAACAACCUCAGCCUUUUUUGCACUUGGUGCUAGUGAAAAGUUGAGGGAAAAUCCAACCAUGCCCACAGGACAGAAAUACUUUUUUUUUUUUUAAACCAAAGAAAAGCCUUUUUACAAAAUAGCAACUCAUCAGGGAAAAGAAAUGUCCGAACUAAAUGAGAGCAGGCUGCACGUUGGACCUGCUGACAUGAAGCCAGGGCAAGGUGCUUCCCCACUCUGGCCUGCGUUUCCUCCUCUGCAUAAGGAGAAUUUUGGAUUUGGUCCUCUCCCGGGUCAGUCCACCUCUAACACUCUGUCAUGCCAGGUGAUAACCAAAAUAUCUAGAUCCAGCAUUCAUGUCUGCAAUGUUCUUGCUUUGCUAGCAAGGCCCCUGCCACCAAGAGGAGAUCACACGUUUUCUAGAUGUCCUUUUUUACCUCCCCACAGGGUCACUGGGGCUUCCCUGUAGGUGAGGUCCUUGGGCAAGUCUACCUCUCUACACCUCAGUUUCCUCAUCUGUGAAAUGGGGAUAAUAACAAUGGUCUCAACAGCACGGGGUUGAGGGGAAAACGAAAUAGGAUGCUAGGUGCAAAGUGCAUAGCAUGGGACAAGAACUUUGCCAAAGUCAACGAAGAGCUCAGUGUUCUGCAUUGGUGCCCGCCUCCAUGCUCAGGUCCUCAAGAGACCCGUGACGGUCUUCCCUUGAUCUUGGCUUUGGUGUUGGUGAUGGCGGUAAGGAAUCAUCUAGUAGCCAAGUAGGACCUUUUAUUCCUGAGGACUAAUGAGACUGUGAACUUUGUGAAUCCUCCACUCCUAGCAGCCAGAAGACUCAGCCCAGGCCAGAGGUCGUGGUCUGUGGGGCUCUGGUGGUCAGCAGAAGAGGCCAGGAUAGAGCGAGACGGACAAUGACCACGAGCACAGAAAGCUGCAGAGGAGCAGGAUCCAGAAGCAGAAGCUUGUGACUUGGCACCUGUUUCCGGAACCCACUAUGGCCCAACCUUCUCAGAAGAUUUUGCACCUUGAGCCAAAGAGGAUGCAGGGCUCUUGGGACCCAAGAGCCUGAGUAGGGCUUCUGCCCUCCCUCUCCGGCCUGAAGUUUCCCAUUCAUCAGCUGGAACCUUCACACCUGCCCAGAGGACUGCUGACUCGCACUGACGGUGGCCACAAGAAUUCAGAUGUGAUGGCUGCAGCUUAAGCAGCCAUCAUGGACCAUGAAGUAGACACACUAAACCUGCUGCAGGAGCAAGAUGGAAGGAGUCUGGACCUCUGACAAUGACAGUUUCACAAAACUUUUCCUGGGGUGUACGCCUCCAGACACCUCUUAUUCCUGAGAGGCAGAUAAACUGCUCCCUUUUAAAGCCACUGUUGUUUUGAGUUGAUCUGUUACACAUAGUCAAACCUGAUCCAAACUCAAAAAUAAAAGAAAAAGCAAAAAAACCUGAUCCAAACUGAUUCAAGUCCCUGCUGUGUGACAGACACUCUUCGAGGUUGUGGUGACCCAGCAGUGAGGAUAGGAUGGUCACCAGCACAGUGACCAUAGUGCCUGCCCUGUACAGCCACAUUCCAGUGGAGAGAAAGCUAUAUAUGAGGAAACAGUAAUUUUAUGAAAUAAUUGGUGGCAUGAAAUAAAACAGGUGAUAUUGAGUGAGACACAGUUCUGAGACUGUCUCAUUUAUUAACUAAUCUAAUCUUCAUAUCAAUUCUGUGAGGUGGUGACAAUUAUCAUACCCAUUUUACAGAUGAAAAAGGAGGCCCAGUGGGUAGGUAACGCAUAAGGACACAUGCCAAUGAGCAGAGGAAGCAGCAUGUGACUCCCAACACUCAGCCUCCAGAGCUCACCCUCCUAGCAGCUUCCCCAACUGCUUCCAUAGCAGGGUAGAGAGAGGAACCACUUCCCAGGAACUGUGGCCUGACCAGUGCUGGGCCCUCUAACUGACAUCAGUAGUCUUUUUUUUCUUUUUUUUUUUUCUUU
rnacentral:lncRNA from 1 species